UAGGGAAUCUUCCGCAAUGGGCGAAAGCCUGACGGAGCAACGCCGCGUGAGUGAUGAAGGUCUUCGGAUCGUAAAACUCUGUUAUUAGGGAAGAACAUAUGUGUAAGUAACUGUGCACAUCUUGACGGUACCUAAUCAGAAAGCCACGGUUAACUACGUGCCAGCAGCCGCGGUAAUACGUAGGUGGCAAGCGUUAUCCGGAAUUAUUGGGCGUAAAGCGCGCGUAGGCGGUUUUUUAAGUCUGAUGUGAAAGCCCACGGCUCAACCGUGGAGGGUCAUUGGAAACUGGAAAACUUGAGUGCAGAAGAGGAAAGUGGAAUUCCAUGUGUAGCGGUGAAAUGCGCAGAGAUAUGGAGGAACACCAGUGGCGAAGGCGACUUUCUGGUCUGUAACUGACGCUGAUGUGCGAAAGCGUGGGGAUCAAACAGGAUUAGAUACCCUGGUAGUCCACGCCGUAAACGAUGAGUGCUAAGUGUUAGGGGGUUUCCGCCCCUUAGUGCUGCAGCUAACGCAUUAAGCACUCCGCCUGGGGAGUACGACCGCAAGGUUG
rnacentral:rRNA from 1 species